rnacentral:ncRNA from 1 species
UUAAACCGUAUGCGGGGAAACUCGCAUGUGCAGUUCUUAGGGGGGAGAGAUAGUAGGAGCCAUCCCAUCCCAAU